rnacentral:rRNA from 1 species
UGGGGAAUUUUGGACAAUGGGCGAAAGCCUGAUCCAGCAAUGCCGCGUGUGUGAAGAAGGCCCUUCGGGUUGUAAAGCACUUUUGUCCGGAAAGAAAUCCUCUGGGUUAAUACCUCGGGGGGAUGACGGUACCGGAAGAAUAAGCACCGGCUAACUACGUGCCAGCAGCCGCGGUAAUACGUAGGGUGCAAGCGUUAAUCGGAAUUACUGGGCGUAAAGCGUGCGCAGGCGGUUUGCUAAGACCGAUGUGAAAUCCCCGGGCUCAACCUGGGAACUGCAUUGGUGACUGGCAGGCUAGAGUAUGGCAGAGGGGGGUAGAAUUCCACGUGUAGCAGUGAAAUGCGUAGAGAUGUGGAGGAAUACGAUGGCGAAGGCAGCCCCUGGGCCAAUACUGACGCUCAUGCACGAAAGCGUGGGGAGCAAACAGGAUUCAGAUACCCUGGUAGUCCACGCCCUAAACGAUGUCAACUAGUUGUUGGGGAUUCAUUUCCUUAGUAACGUAGCUAACGCGUGGAAGUUGACCGCCUGGGGAGUACGGUCGCAAGAUUAAACUCAAGGAAUUGACGGGGUCAUAGCUGUUUCCU